rnacentral:rRNA from 1 species
CCUACGGGAGGCAGCAGUGAGGAAUAUUGGUCAAUGGACGAGAGUCUGAACCAGCCAUGCCGCGUGCAGGACGACGGCUCUACGAGUUGUAAACUGCUUUUGUACCGGGGUAAAAUGCUCUACGAGUAUGGUUUUGAAAGUACGGUACGAAUAAGGAUCGGCUAACUCCGUGCCAGCAGCCGCGGUAAUACGGAGGAUUCGAGCGUUAUCCGGAUUCAUUGGGUUUAAAGGGUGCGUAGGUGGUUUGAUAAGUUAGAGGUGAAAUCCCGAUGCUCAACAUCGGAGCUGCCGCUGAUACUGUAGGACUAGAGAUCGGAUGCAGCAGGCGGAAUGUGUAGUGUAGCGGUGAAAUGCUUAGAUAUUACACAGAACACCGAUUGCGAAGGCAGCUUGCUAGGCCAGUUCUGACACUGAUGCACGAAAGCGUGGGGAUCGAACAGGAUUAGAUACCCUUGUAGUC